rnacentral:snoRNA from 1 species
CCCCCGGGUCCCUGAUGCAGCCCCCGGAUGAGCCCGCGGUAUUUUCCUUAUAUGAUUGGGCCCCAUGGCUGGCGGCGCCGUUUGCCUGGAGCCUGAGAGGAUUAUGACAACGUGUCAGGCGAAGUGGGGCCGGGGGACCCGGGG